AAGUAAACAGACAGAAAGAGAAGUAUUCAAAAUUCGCAUAUAACCAAAUUAUUUCGACUGUUUUCAGUUUUUGAAUAAUAUAUCCUGCUGUGUGUUGUGUAAACAAUAGAAAAUCUCAAUUUUCAACACAACGCACAGAUAUGGACAUUACGCGCCUGUCUCGGUGUUUGUCGCCAUUUUGUGUAAACGCGAACUAAAUAUUUAACAAGCUAUUAAACCAACGUCAACAGCAUCGAAAUGAAUAAAUAAUGCGCCUGAAUCGCUGGCAAUUGCCGGUGACCAUGAAUGCCAUGAAUGACCAUGUGACCAUGUGGACAAUACGCUGGGAACACAUUUUGCAGAUCCAGCAGUAAAACUAAGGUGGCUUAGAGCUGGACUUAAAAAAAAUAUUUCUAACGAAGAUUUUUCAUUGGAAAAAAUAGUAUUUAGUAUUCAAACUUCGCUUAAUCUAAUAACGAUAGUGCCAUCGAUUGUCUACCAAUUUUAUUUUCCUUUUCACCACCAUGGAUUUUCCAUUCAGAUACCGUUAGCUUUUUUUUUUUUGAAUUUCACCGGUUGCCUGGGCAGGAUGAUAAUGACAGCGAACACGAGCAGAAGGAGUUGGCUUAGGAGCCAUGAACAUGACCAUUUGAGGUUGGGGCGAUUGUCAAUGGUUGUUGUCAAUUACGUUAACAAAACACGGUCGCCGGGCGCCCCUGUAUGAAUGGAUGUUUGGAGAGCUGGGAAAACCAAAACUGGAGCAGGAGUUUCUACUUGGUCUCCCCAAAAAGGUCCAAAAAUUUGUACGUCACCACCAGAAAGAGAGAGAGAGAAAGAGAAAACAGCGGGCGACGGACCGGAACCGAAAGUCCAGUCCAGAGCUCAAAGACAUGGCCAAAACCAAAUGUAAAGCAGCCGCCAAAACAAAGGGAAGCCCUGGCCAAAAUGGAGUUGCAGUCCAUGUGCGCUCAUGUCAGGCGUUUAAUUGGCAUUGCCAUUUGGUAUGUGUUAUUAACGAUUUGUGGCGUGCAAAGGCAUUUGUCAAUGUGUCAGAAAAAUGAACUUCGCAGAAGGGAAUUUUCAGAUGUGGGAGCAAAGCAAACUUGGCUUACAUACAUGUCAUUAAUAACUGUUAAGAGCUGGAAAAAUAUGUUUACUAAAUAAUCAUAAGAGUAUGUUAAAACAA